rnacentral:rRNA from 1 species
CCCUUAGAUGUUCUGGGCCGCACGCGUGCUACACUGAGUGGAUCAGCGGGUCAGGUUGCGCGAAAGUGUUUCCUAAUCUUUAAAUCCGCUCGUGAUGGGGAUUGACGGUUGCAAUUUUCCGUCAUGAACGAGGAAUACCUUGUAAGCGCGGGUCAUCAUCCCGCGCUGAAUACGUCCCUGCCCUUUGCACACACCGCCCGUCGCUCCUACCGAUUGAGUGGUCCGGUGAGGCUUUGGGAUCUGAGCGGAAAGAGCGUUUCGCUGUUUCUGCUCGGAAAACUCAGUCGAACCUUAUCAUUUAGAGGAAGGAGAAGUCGUAACA